ACGCUCGACACCUACGGGAGACAGCAGUGGGGAAUAUUGCACAAUGGGGGAAACCCUGAUGCAGCGACGCCGCGUGGAGGAAGAAGGUCUUCGGAUUGUAAACUCCUGUUGUUGGGGAAAAAGAGGAUGGUACCCAACAAGGAAGUGACGGCUAACUACGUGCCAGGAGCCGCGGUAAUCUGAGCGGGCUGGCAAGGC
rnacentral:rRNA from 1 species